rfam:Melipona quadrifasciata isolate 0111107301 unplaced genomic scaffold scaffold95, whole genome shotgun sequence.
UUUAAAUAUGAUGACAAUAUAUCGCCCCAGUCUGACCAUUUUAUGAGUGAUUGAUUUAUUCUGAUGAA